rnacentral:rRNA from 1 species
UACGUAGGGAGCAAGCGUUGUCCGGAAUCAUUGGGCGUAAAGCGCGCGUAGGUGGCUUCGUAAGUCCGUUGUGAAAGUCAGAGGCUCAACCUUUGAAAGCCGAUGAUACUGCGGAGCUAGAGUACGGAAGAGGCGAGUGGAAUUCCUGGUGUAGCGGUGGAAUGCGCAGAUAUCAGGAGGAACACCAAUAGCGAAGGCAGCUCGCUGGGACGUUACUGACACUGAGACGCGAAAGCGUGGGGAGCAAACAGG